ACAAUUGCCUGGGGAAGGAGAGAAGACAAUCUGAGUCUUCACAGGAAGAAUGGACAAGCUCCUGGGAGCAUUACUGUUGAUUCUAUGGCUUCAGUCAGACUGGGCCAAUAGUCAACCAAAGAAGAAGGAUGACCAGCAGGUUAAGCAAAGUCCCCCAUCCCGGAAGACCCAGGAAGGAGAAAUUUCCAUUUUCAACUGUGAUUACAAUAAUGAUCUGUUUGAUUACUUCGUGUGGUACAAAAAAUCCCCUGGUAAAGGCCCUGCCCUCCUCAUAUCUAUACAUUCAGGUGCGGAUGGAAAUGAAGAGGGAAGAUUCACAGUCUUCCUCAAUAAAAGUGCCAAACACCUCUCUCUGCAUAUUGCGGCCUCCCAGCCUGGAGACUCCGCCACUUACUUCUGCGCAGCAAGUGCACAGUGCUCUGCAGGCACCUGUAGCCUGUACCCAAACCUGCAGAUGGGGUCCAAGCCAACCCUUACUUUGGGGUCUCAGACUGGGAGGGCCACAGACUUGCUUCCAUUUACACACAACAGCAUGCAAGGGUGUGCUUUAAAGUAG